AAUCAACGCUGGCGGCGUGCCUAACACAUGCAAGUCGAACGCGAAAGUUCCUCCGGGGAUGAGUAGAGUGGCGUCCGGGUGAGUAACGCGUGGGUAAUCUGCCUUUGGGGUGGGGGAGUAACUCAGGGAAACGUUAGGGUCGUAAUACCGCAUAAUGCAGCGGCUCGACAUCGAGACAGUUGUUAAAGACAGCAAUGCGCCUGAAGAGGA
rnacentral:rRNA from 1 species